rnacentral:rRNA from 1 species
AACGAACGCUGGCGGCAGGCUUAACACAUGCAAGUCGAGCGCCCCGCAAGGGGAGCGGCAGACGGGUGAGUACCGCUUGGGAACAUACCCAACCCUACGGAAUAACCCAGGGAAACUUGGACUAAUACCGUAUACGCCCUUUUGGGGAAAGAUUUAUCGGGGAUGGAUUGGCCCGCGUUGGAUUAGCUAGUUGGUGGGGUAAAGGCCUACCAAGGCGACGAUCCAUAGCUGGUCUGAGAGGAUGAUCAGCCACAUUGGGACUGAGACACGGCCCAAACUCCUACGGGAGGCAGCAGUGGGGAAUAUUGGACAAUGGGCGCAAGCCUGAUCCAGCCAUGCCGCGUGAGUGAUGAAGGCCUUAGGGUUGUAAAGCUCUUUCACCGAUGAAGAUAAUGACGGUAGUCGGAGAAGAAGCCCCGGCUAACUUCGUG